GGAAAGCUUGCUGCGGCCUCUGCCUCACGGGCCCGGGAUCCAUUAAGUUUGUCCUGGCUCAGAUGACGCUGGCGGCGUGCUUACCUGCAGUCGAACGGAGUAUUGACGCUGACGAACUUCGGUCAAUCUUGUUAUACUUAUGGCGGACGGGUGAGUAACGCGUGGGUAACCUGCCGUAUGCAGGGGGACAACAGUUGGAAACGACUGCUAAUACCGCAUAAGCGCACAGUAUCGCAUGAUACAGUGUGAAAAGAUUUAUCGGCAUACGAUGGACCCGCGUUUGAUUAUAUAGUUGGUGAGGUAACGGCUCACCAAGUCUACGAUCAAUAGCCGGCCUGAGAGGGCAAUCGGCCACAUUGGGACUGAGACACGGCCCACACUCCUACGGGAGGCAGCAGUGGGGAAUAUUGGGCAAUGGGCGAAAGCCUGACCACCAACGCCGCGUGAGGAGAAAGUUUCGGAUCGUAACUUCUGUCCUGUGAGA
rnacentral:rRNA from 1 species